rnacentral:rRNA from 1 species
GUGCCAGCCGCCGCGGUAAUACGUAGGUGGCAAGCGUUAUCCGGAAUUAUUGGGCGUAAAGCGCGCGUAGGCGGUUUUUUAAGUCUGAUGUGAAAGCCCACGGCUCAACCGUGGAGGGUCAUUGGAAACUGGAAAACUUGAGUGCAGAAGAGGAAAGUGGAAUUCCAUGUGUAGCGGUGAAAUGCGCAGAGAUAUGGAGGAACGCCAGUGGCGAAGGCGACUUUCUGGUCUGUAACUGACGCUGAUGUGCGAAAGCGUGGGGAUCAAACAGGA